UUGAGCCAGUCUAUUGGAGAAAGGAGCAAUGCGAACUGCCUUGGCAGAUCCAGGUUCGAGUCCCCACUCCCCCAAUCUCCCUACUCAAAAACAAAAAAUAAAAAAUAAAUUUUAAAGUUUCAUCUAUAAAAAAGUAUAAUACUACAACAACAUGAACUUCUAUAAACUUCAUGAGUAAUGUGAAUACCUACUUUAGCAUCUCAAGAUUAUCAACUGUCCCACUUGAAUUUGAUAUGCUCAUUUUCAUAAUUGUAUUUGUUACCAAGUUUGCAGUGUUAAAUGUGGUUCUGAUCCUAUACAUGAGAGGGGCAUUGAGUUAUCCCAUGCUAGCAAAGGACAAAGCUUGGCAUGGCCUUAUAUGGCAUAGACCUCUCCACCAAUUAGUUUAAACUUUUUGGCUGGAUGUUCUAACAAUGUAAAGUUUAUUACAUAUACUUUUUGUAUCUGAAUAAGGUUAGUAUGACACUCUGGUUUAUAUGGCCUAAACAUAAUCAUCACCACUUUCGUUGCUAAUUUAGAAAUAUGCAACCGGAAAGUAAAGGGUCCGAGAAAUAACAACGCCUAUGCCUUUCAAAGAAAGUGACACACUGAAGCAACCCAAUUUCAUCCAAACUCUACUAAGCAAGUCUUGUAUAUAGGUAUUGGAGGUGAAUGUGUAUAGGAAUGAUCAACAACUACCACCAAACUAAUGAGUCAAAUGCAUGUCAUACAAAUAAAAAGUCCUAAAAUUUUCUGUUUAUUUGGAGAAAGGGGACCAGCUUUCAUACUUUUAAUAGAAAACAUAUAUAUAAGUGCAUACCGCAUCUCCAUCAGCUUUGGAAG
rnacentral:misc_RNA from 1 species